rnacentral:rRNA from 1 species
GAUGAACGCUAGCGGCAGGCCUAAUACAUGCAAGGCGAAGGGCAGGCAAUGUCACUGUCGUACGGGUGCGUAACGCGUAUGCAACCUACCUAUCACAGGGGAAUAGCCUUUGGAAACAGGGAUUAAUACCGCAUAAAGCAGGGACACCGCAUGGUGAUAUUGCUAAAGAUUUAUCGGUGAUAGAUGGGCAUGCGUUCCAUUAGGUAGUUGGUGAGGUAACGGCUCACCAAGCCGACGAUGGAUAGGGGAACUGAGAGGUUGGUCCCCCACACUGGUACUGAGACACGGACCAGACUCCUACGGGAGGCAGCAGUGAGGGAAUAUUGGUCAAUGGGCGGGAGCCUGAACCAGCCAAGUCGCGUGAAGGAAGAAGGAUCUAUGGUUCGUAAACUUCUUUUGCAGGGGAAUAAAGUGCAGGACGUGUCCUGUUUUGUAUGUACCCUGAGAAUAGGAUCGGCUAACUCCGUG